AACUUUCAGCAACGGAUCUCUUGGCUCUCGCAUCGAUGAAGAACGCAGCGAAAUGCGAUAAGUAAUGUGAAUUGCAGAAUUCAGUGAAUCAUCGAAUCUUUGAACGCACCUUGCGCCCCUUGGUAUUCCGAGGGGCAUGCCU
rnacentral:rRNA from 1 species